GGUCAAGUUAUUAAGGGUGCAGGGCGGAUGCCUUGGCACUAGGAGCCGAUGAAGGACGUGAUAAGCUGCGAUAAGCUUCGGGGAGUUGCACGUAAACUUUGAUCCGAAGAUUUCCGAAUGAGGAAACUCACUUAGAGUAAUGUCUAAGUAUCAUUAAGUGAAUACAUAGCUUAAUGAGGGGAACUCAGGGAACUGAAACAUCUAAGUACCUGAAGGAAGAGAAAGAAAUUCGAUUCCGUAAGUAGCGGCGAGCGAACGCGGAUUAGCCCAAACCAAUAAAGUUUUCUUUAUUGGGGUUGCGGACAUAUCAUAACGAAGAGGUAUCGUAAUUGAAGAGGUUUGGAAAGACCCACCACAGAAGGUAAUAGUCCUGUAUGUUAAACGAGAAGACUUCAGAUAUGAUCCAGAGUACCACGGGACACGUGAAACCCUGUGGGAAGCAGGAGGGACCACCCUCCAAGGCUAAAUACUACCUAGUGACCGAUAGCGUAUAGUACCGUGAGGGAAAGGUGAAAAGAACCCCGGGAGGGGAGUGAAAUAGAACCUGAAACCCUGCACUUACAAGCUGUGGAAGCACAUUUCUUGUGUGACCGCGUACUUUUUGUAGAACGGGCCAACGAGUUACGUUAAGUAGCAAGGUUAAGCACUUAAGGUGUGGAGCCGUAGCGAAAGCGAGUUUUAACUGAGCGUUCAGUUACUUGACGUAGACCCGAAACCGGGCGACCUACCCAUGAGCAGGAUGAAGCGAAAGUAAAAUUUCGUGGAGGUCCGAACCCACGAGCGUUGAAAAGCUCGGGGAUGACUUGUGGGUAGCGGUGAAAUUCCAAUCGAGCCCGGAGAUAGCUGGUUCUCCCCGAAAUAGCUUUAGGGCUAGCCUCAAGGUGAGAGAUACGGAGGUAGAGCACUGAAUGUCCUAGUGGGUAUUGCACCUACCGAAGACUAUCAAACUCCGAAUGCCGUCAUCUUAUACUUGGGAGUCAGACUGUGGGUGAUAAGAUUCAUAGUCGAAAGGGCAACAGCCCAGAUCGUCAGCUAAGGUCCCUAAAUGUAAGUUAAGUGGUAAAGGAUGUGGGAUUGCACAGACAACCAGGAUGUUGGCUUAGAAGCAGCCACUCAUUCAAAGAGUGCGUAAUAGCUCACUGGUCGAGUGAUCCUGCGCCGAAGAUUUCCGGGGCUAAAACUUACUACCGAAGCUACGGCAUCAGUAAUGAUGGGUAGGGGAGCUUCCCAUACGGGUUGAAGCAUGACCGUAAGGACAUGUGGACAGUAUGGGAGUGAGAAUGUUGGCAUGAGUAGCGAGAUGUGGGUGAGAAUCCCACAGGCCGUAAACCCAAGGUUUCCAGGGGAAGGUUCGUCCGCCCUGGGUUAGUCGGGACCUAAGCUGAGGCCGAAAGGCGUAGGUGAUGGACAACAGGUUGAUAUUCCUGUACUACCGAUAACCGUUUGAGAGAAGGGAUGACACAGUAGGAUAAGCUAAGCACACUGUUGGUUAUGUGUGCCCAAGCAUUGAGGCAGUCAAAGUAGGCAAAUCCGCUUUGAUAAUGCUGGGAUGUGAUGGGGAGCGAAAUUUAGUAGCGAAGUAGCUGAUUUCACACUGUCAAGAAAAGUCUCUAUCGAGGUUAAAGGUACCCGUACCGCAAACCGACACAGGUGGGUGAGGAGAGUAUCCUAAGGCCAGCGAGAGAACUGUUGUUAAGGAACUCGGCAAAAUGACCCCGUAACUUAGGGAUAAGGGGUGCCACCAUCAGGUGGCCGCAGAGAAUAGGCCCAAGCGACUGUUUACCAAAAACAUAGGUUUCUGCUAAGUCGCAAGACGAUGUAUAGGAGCUGACGCCUGCCCGGUGCUGGAAGGUUAAGGGGAUCUGUUAGAGCAAUCGAAGCAGUGAACUUAAGCCCCAGUAAACGGCGGCCGUAACUAUAACGGUCCUAAGGUAGCGAAAUUCCUUGUCGGGUAAGUUCCGACCCGCACGAAAGGCGUAACGAUUUGGGCACUGUCUCAACAACAGACUCGGUGAAAUUGUAAUUCCGGUGAAGAUGCCGGAUACCUGCGACAGGACGGAAAGACCCCAUGGAGCUUUACUGUAGCUUGACAUUGGGUUUUGGUACUACAUGUACAGGAUAGGUGGGAGGCUUUGAAACCAGGACGCCAGUUUUGGCGGAGCCAUCCUUGGGAUACCACCCUUGUAGUACUGGGACUCUAACCAUAGGCCAUGAAUCUGGUCUUGGGACACUGUCAGGUGGGCAGUUUGACUGGGGCGGUCGCCUCCCAAAAGGUAACGGAGGCGCUCAAAGGUUCUCUCAGUACGGUCGGAAAUCGUACGUAGAGUGUAAAGGCAAAAGAGAGCUUGAUUGCAAGACAUACAGGUCGAGCAAGGAUGAAAAUCGGACUUAGUGAUCCGGUGGUUCUGCGUGGAAGGGCCAUCGCUCAACGGAUAAAAGCUACCCUGGGGAUAACAGGCUUAUCUCCCCCAAGAGUCCACAUCGACGGGGAGGUUUGGCACCUCGAUGUCGGCUCAUCACAUCCUGGGGCUGUAGUAGGUCCCAAGGGUUGGGCUGUUCGCCCAUUAAAGUGGUACGCGAGCUGGGUUCAGAACGUCGUGAGACAGUUCGGUCCCUAUCCGUCGCAGGCGUAGGAAAUUUGAGAAGACCUGUCCUUAGUACGAGAGGACCGGGAUGGACGUACCUCUGGUGUACCAGUUGUUCUGCCAAGGGCAUGGCUGGGUAGCUAUGUACGGAAUGGAUAAGCGCUGAAAGCAUCUAAGCGCGAAGCCAACUUCAAGAUAAGAUUUCCCACCGCAAGGGUAAGAUCCCAGAAAGACUAUCUGGUUGAUAGGUCGAAGGUGUAAGUGCAGCAAUGUAUUUAGCUUAUCGAUACUAAUAGGUCGAGGACUUGACCAA
rnacentral:rRNA from 1 species